ACCGACUGCUAUUUGGGUGAGGAUAAGCCAUGCGAGUUGGAUGGGAUACCUAAACUUCCCAUAGCAAACUGCUUAGUAACACAUGAUCAACUUGCCCUAUGGAGAAAAAUAACCUCGGGAAACUGAGGAUAAUGUUUCAUAGUUGAAUAGGCUUGGAAAAGUUUUUCAAUGAAAGGAAUAAGAUAAAUGGUUCUUAUUUGCCAUAGGAUAGGAUCGUGGUCGAUUAUGGUAGUUGGUGAGAUAACGGCUCACCAAGCCGAUAAUCGAUAGGGGCCGUGAGAGCGGGAGCCCCAAGAUGGGUACUGAGACAGCGACCCAGGCCUUACGAGGCGCAGCAGGCGCGAGGCCUCCGCAAUACACGAAAGUGUGACGGGGUUACCCAAAGUGUUCUCUUAAGAACUGUGGUAGGUGAGUAAUGUCCCCUGCUAGAAAGGAGAGGGCAAGGCUGGUGCCAGCCGCCGCGGUAAAACCAGCUCUUCAAGUGGUCGGGAUAAUUAUUGGGCUUAAAGUGUCCGUAGCCGGUUUAGAAAGUUCCUGGUAAAAUCGGGUAGCUUAACUAUCUGCAUGCUAGGAAUACUGCUAUACUAGAGGGCGGGAGAAGUCUGAGGUACUACAGGGGUAGGGGUGAAAUCUUAUAAUCCUUGUAGGACCACCAGUGGCGAAGGCGUCAGACUGGAACGCGCCUGACGGUGAGGGACGAAAGCCAGGGGAGCGAACCGGAUUAGAUACGUCGGUGCUAGAAUAAUAAAAUAACUAACACCAUGCUAAAAACCCGGGUAGUCCUGGCCGUAAACGAUGCAUACUAGGUGAUGGUACGGCCAUGAGCCGUAUCAGUGCCGUAGGGAAACCGUUAAGUGUGCCGCCUGGGAAGUACGGUCGCAAGGCUAAAACUUAAAGGAAUUGGCGGGGGAGCACCACAAGGGGUGAAGCCUGCGGUUC
rnacentral:rRNA from 1 species